rnacentral:rRNA from 1 species
AUGGGGAAGCACGAUCACCACCACCACCACCACCACCACCACGACGUGGAGGCGUGCUACCCGCCCGACGGGUACAUGAUCGAGAGCCCGGAGCUGCGCUGGGCCUUCAUCCGCAAGGUGUACGUCAUCGUCUCCAUCCAGAUGCUCGUCACCGUGGCCGUCGCCGCCGCCAUGAACCUCACCGACUGCGUCCGCAACUUCUUCCUCUCCCGCACCCCCGCCGCCCUCGUCGCCUUCAUCCUCAUCCUCAUCUCCCCCCUCCUCGUGAUGCUGCCCAUGGUCUACUUCCGGCAGAAGCACCCGGUGAACCUGGUGUUCCUGGGCAUCUUCACCGUGUGCGUCAGCCUGUCGGUGGGGCUGGGGUGCCUCACCAAGCGCGGGCCCAUCAUCUUCGAGGCGGCGGGGAUGACGCUCGUCGUCGUGGUCUCGCUCACCGCCUACACCUUCUGGGCGGCCAGGCGCGGCCACGACUUCGAGUUCCUGGGGCCCUUCCUCUUCGCCGCCUGCGUCAUCCUCAUGCUCUACGCCAUCGUCAUCAUCCUCUUCCCCAUGGGCAAGACGGCCGUGCUCGUCUACGGCUGCAUCGCCGCGCUCAUCUUCUCCGCCUUCAUCAUCUACGACACCGACAACCUCAUCAAGCGCUACACCUACGACGAGUACGUCGCCGCCUCCAUCACCCUCUACCUCGACAUCAUCAACCUCUUCAGGGCCAUCCUCAUGGCCCUCGAUGCCGCCGACUGA